ACUCCUACGGGAGGCAGCAGUGGGGAAUAUUGGGCAAUGGGGGAAACCCUGACCCAGCAACGCCGCGUGAAGGAAGAAGGUCUUCGGAUUGUAAACUUCUUUGAUCAGGGACGAAGAAAUGACUGUACCUGAAGAACAAGUCACGGCUAACUACGUGCCAGCAGCCGCGGUAAUACGUAGGUGGCAAGCGUUAUCCGGAUUUACUGGGUGUAAAGGGCGUGUAGGCGGGUCUGCAAGUCAGAUGUGAAAUCUCCGGGCUUAACUCGGAAGUGUCAUCUGAAACUACGGAUCUUGAGUACUGGAGAGGAUAGUGGAAUUCCUAGUGUAGCGGUAAAAUGCGUAGAUAUUAGGAGGAACACCAGUGGCGAAGGCGGCUAUCUGGACAGUAACUGACGCUGAGGCGCGAAAGCGUGGGGAGCAAACAGGAUUAGAUACCCUGGUAGUC
rnacentral:rRNA from 1 species